CAGCUUGCUGUUGGUGGAUGAGUGGCGAACGGGUGAGUAACACGUGAGUAACCUGCCCCUGAUUUCGGGAUAAGCCUGGGAAACUGGGUCUAAUACCGGAUACGACCUCCUGACGCAUGUUGGGUGGUGGAAAGUUUUUCGAUCGGGGAUGGGCUCGCGGCCUAUCAGCUUGUUGGUGGGGUAAUGGCCUACCAAGGCGACGACGGGUAGCCGGCCUGAGAGGGCGACCGGCCACACUGGGACUGAGACACGGCCCAGACUCCUACGGGAGGCAGCAGUGGGGAAUAUUGCACAAUGGGGGAAACCCUGAUGCAGCGACGCAGCGUGCGGGAUGACGGCCUUCGGGUUGUAAACCGCUUUCAGCAGGGAAGAAGCGAAAGUGACGGUACCUGCAGAAGAAGUACCGGCUAACUACGUGCCAGCAGCCGCGGUAAUACGUAGGGUACGAGCGUUGUCCGGAAUUAUUGGGCGUAAAGAGCUCGUAGGUGGUUGGUCACGUCUGCUGUGGAAACGCAACGCUUAACGUUGCGCGUGCAGUGGGUACGGGCUGACUAGAGUGCAGUAGGGGAGUCUGGAAUUCCUGGUGUAGCGGUGAAAUGCGCAGAUAUCAGGAGGAACAC
rnacentral:rRNA from 1 species